UGUGAUGUAUUUUUUAUUUAUUUAUAAU
rnacentral:piRNA from 1 species